GGCUUGUGGCUCAACGGUAGAGUGCUUGCCUUGCACGUGCAGAGCCCUGGGUUCCAUCCUCAGCACCA
rnacentral:tRNA from 1 species